CUUUCGCAAGGGUAUUGGGUAUACAACAUUAUCUGGUCUUGCCAAUCAAUACCGGACAUGAUAGCAGUUAUCGAUUAACACCGAUAAACCCUGAAUUUCAAAAAGAAUUAAAUUCCAUAUAAAUUAUCAUUCAUUAAACAUAAACUAAGGAGUGUUGUAAGCAACCAAACGGAAUAAAUUGAGCCAACGUAUGGAAAAUUUAGAAACUCAAAAUCUCAGUAACACAACCUUACAAACUAAUAAUAACGAAAAUAAUACAUACUUCAAAUCUUUUAUACCUGGCUUACCUAUGAACACUACGAUUAGAUUUAAAUGCAUUCAAUCAGAAAUUAUCUAAAGAUGAAAUAUUUUGUAAUGAUAUGAGUAUAGAUUAAAUAUUAAUCAACUAACAUAAUAUUAUACAUGGGAGAAAAAAACUUUAAGGCAAUAAAAGAAUAAUGAUUAAGCUUUUUCCGAUGAACUGUCAACAAUUUUUUCAUAUUCUGGUAAAAAGAGGAAAAUCCAAAUUUUCAGACCAAAUGAUUUGUACGAUUAUUUUUGAUGCUGUAAAAAAAAUCAAUUAAAGUUCCAAAAUGUUACUCAGAAUGAAAUGGGAGAAGUAGUUUAGUAUGUCUUUGCCCAAGCUUUAUUCAACAUCAAACGUCUUCAACUAUUAAAUAAUAAUCAUGUAACAUCUACCUUAUUAUUUAUUAAGUCAAAUAAUAUUAUGUAUUAAAAACUUUUUUUUUAAUAUUUUAUUAGAUACCAAAUUAUGUUAUAUUUUAAAUAUUGUCCAUUAGAUAUUUAAUUCAAAAUGUUAAAGAGUUCAAUCAAUGAUUGCUAUUCAUUGUAUAAAUAUUUAAAAACAUGUACCU